AACGCUGGCGGCAGGCCUAACACAUGCAAGUCGAACGGUAACAUUUCUAGCUUGCUAGAAGAUGACGAGUGGCGGACGGGUGAGUAAUACUUAGGAAUAUGCCUUUGUGUGGGGGAUAACUAUUGGAAACGAUAGCUAAUACCGCAUAACGUCUUCGGACCAAAGGGGGCUUCGGCUCCCGCGCAAAGAGUAGCCUAAGCGAGAUUAGCUUGUUGGUGAGGUAAAGGCUCACCAAGGCGACGAUCUCUAGCUGUUCUGAGAGGAAGAUCAGCCACACUGGAACUGAGACACGGUCCAG
rnacentral:rRNA from 1 species